ACAGCAGCUGUCCAGGGUUGGAGGAUGUUCAGUGAGAGACUGUGUGAACAAACUCUUAAACAAGGUUAUGUCAAAUGCCUUAAUGGCAAAGUUUAAUAUGAAGGGAGGCGGACACUUGGAGAAAAGGUCUUUCAAAUCGACUGGUCUAUAUCAAAUUUUGCAAGAUGCAGUGAAAAGGUGGAACCCUGAUGCCACAGAUGUACAAAUCGAUGCAGCAAUGGCAGAGCAUCUGAAGCAUGCACCUGGAAGAGCCGGAGGGGAGGGAUAUAAAAAAUAAACAUGCACGCGCGCACACAUACAUGCGCACGCACACACGCAUGCAGAGUUAGACAAAAAGUCUGUAACUUGGAGAACCUGUAAUUAAUCAAAGAAACAUGAUCGAACCUUAGGUAACUAAUCAAUGUGAAGAUCACAAGUUGUUUUUCUUUUUUUUUUCUUGUAGAAAACAAGUUCAUAGAUGUUCAAUUUGACCCCCUUGAGGGACAUCAUUCAUAUAUAUAAAAUACACAUAUACACGCAUGCAUAUAUGUAUAUAUACACACUUAAUUCUUCU